rnacentral:rRNA from 1 species
ACACGACUACAUUAGAUACCCCGGUAGUCCUAGCCGUAAACGAUACUCGCUAGGUGUCGGCCACGGUGCGACCGUUGUCGGUGCCGUAGGGAAGCCGUGAAGCGAGCCACCUGGGAAGUACGGCCGCAAGGCUGAAACUUAAAAGGAAUUGGCGGGGGAGCACCACAACGGGUGGAGCUUGCGGUUUAAUUUGGACUCAACGCCGGAAAUCUUACCGGGACCGACAGCAACAUGAAGGCCAGGCUGAAGACUUUGCCGGAUUAGCUG